rnacentral:lncRNA from 1 species
GUUUAACUGCUGCAAGUUAAUCCGACCUCGAAUCCCACUCGCUGCAAAAAUUAUAAAUCUUUUGCGAAGGGUGUGCCGUAGUAGAUUGGUUUAGAAGCGUGGUACUGAUCUUCCCUUGAACGCAUUAAGCCGUCAGUCAUGGCCAGCUGUUCGUACCAAACAUUGCCUUCACAUUUGAAUCGCGCAGUACACAGCCUUCAUCAGCCCAAUUGCAAUUUCCGCGGACACGCUAUCAGUAGGAUGCAGAGGCGAUCUGUGCGGAGGUGUCCCUGCAAAGUCCAGGUAAUUCUUCUUCCUUGACAUUUGUGUUCCGUACAUUGCUUCUUGAUUGUUGAUGAUGAGAUAAUUGUGCACCUGAGAAUACUUAAGUCGGUCUCUUUCUCAACAGGCUGUCCUCGACCAGGGAGCGUUCCUUUCAGUCUUGCAGCAGGGGGCA